CCUACGGGAGGCUGCAGUGAGGAAUAUUGGUCAAUGGACGAGAGUCUGAACCAGCCAAGUAGCGUGAAGGAUGACUGCCCUAUGGGUUGUAAACUGCUUUUAUAGGGGAAUAAAAUGUGCCACGUGUGGGAUUUUGUAUGUACCAUAUGAAUAAGGAUCGGCUAACUCCGUGCCAGCAGCCGCGGUAAUACGGAGGAGCCGAGCGUUAUCCGGAUUUAUUGGGGUUAAAGGGAGCGUAGGUGGAUUGUUAAGUCAGUUGUGAAAGUUUGCGGCUCAACCGUAAAAUUGCAGUUGAAACGGGCAGUCUUGAGUACAGUAGAGGUGGGCGGAAUUCGUUGUGUCGCGUU
rnacentral:rRNA from 1 species